rnacentral:rRNA from 1 species
GCUCAACUUUGGAAUCGCUCCGGCGAGUUGUAGUCUGGAGGUGGCCACCACGAGGUGUUCUAGCAGCAGGCAAGUCCUUUGGAACAAGGCGCCAGCGAGGGUGACAGCCCCGUACCUGCUUUUGCUAGUGCUUCCUGUGGCCCACCGACGAGUCGAGUUGUUUGGGAAUGCAGCUCUAAGUGGGUGGUAAAUUCCAUCUAAGGCUAAAUAUUGGCGAGAGACCGAUAGCGAACAAGUACAGUGAUGGAAAGAUGAAAAGCACUUUGAAAAGAGAGUGAAACAGUACGUGAAAUUGUUGAAAGGGAAGGGCUUGCACCCAGACACGGUUUCGGCCGGGCCAGCAUCAAGUAGAACGGGGUUAAAAGACUUGGGGAAUGUAGCUACUUCGGUAGUGUUAUAGCCCUUGGUGAUGACCCCUGUUUUGCUUGAGGACAGCGGUCUCUAGGAUGCUGACGCAAUGGUUGCAAGCCACCCGUCUUGAA